GUAGGUGGCAAGCGUUGUCCGGGAAUUAUUGGGGCGUAAAGCGCGCGCAGGCGGUUCUUUAAGUCUGAUGUGAAAGCCCACGGGCUCAACCGUGGAGGGUCAUUGGAAACUGGAGAACUUGAGUACAGAAGAGGAAAGCGGAAUUCCACGUGUAGCGGUGAAAUGCGUAGAGAUGUGGAGGAACGCCAGUGGCGAAGGCGGCUUUCUGGUCUGUAACUGACGCUGAGGCGCGAAAGCGUGGGGAGCAAACAGGAUUAGAUACCCUGGUAGUCCACGCCGUAAACGAUGAGUGCUAAGUGUUAGGGGGUUUCCGCCCCUUAGUGCUGCAGCUAACGCAUUAAGCACUCCGCCUGGGGAGUACGGCCGCAAAGGCUG
rnacentral:rRNA from 1 species